rnacentral:rRNA from 1 species
ACACAGGUGCUGCAUGGCUGUCGUCAGCUCGUGUCGUGAGAUGUUGGGUUAAGUCCCGCAACGAGCGCAACCCUCGUCCUUAGUUGCCAUCAUUAAGUUGGGCACUUUAAGGAAACUGCCGGUGAUAAGCCGGAGGAAGGUGGGGAUGACGUCAAGUCCUCAUGGCCCUUACAGGCUGGGCUACACACGUGCUACAAUGGCAUCUACAGUGGGCAGCUAUUCCGCAAGGAUGCGCUAAUCUCCAAAAGAUGUCUCAGUUCGGAUUGUCCUCUGCAACUCGAGGGCAUGAAGGCGGAAUCGCUAGUAAUCGCGGAUCAGCAUGCCGCGGUGAAUACGUUCCCAGGCCUU